rnacentral:rRNA from 1 species
UGCGCAGGCGGGAUGUUAAGUCGGCGGUGAAAUUUUGCAGCUCAACUGUAAAAGUGCCUUCGAUACUGGCUUUCUUGAGUGUGGAUGAAGUAGGCGGAAUUUGUGGUGUAGCGGUGAAAUGCUUAGAUAUCACGAGGAACUCCGAUUGCGCAGGCAGCUUACUAAACCACUACUGACGCUCAUGCACGAAGGCUGGGGAUCAAACA